UGCCAGACUCCUACGGGAGGCAGCAGUGGGGGAUAUUGCACAAUGGGGGGAACCCUGAUGCAGCGACGCCGCGUGGGUGAAGAAGCGCCUCGGCGCGUAAAGCCCUGUCAGCAGGGAAGAAAAUGACGGUACCUGACUAAGAAGCCCCGGCUAACUACGUGCCAGCAGCCGCGGUAAUACGUAGGGGGCAAGCGUUAUCCGGAUUUACUGGGUGUAAAGAGAGCGUAGACGGCGGCGCAAGUCCGGAGUGAAAGCCCACGGCCCAACCGUGGGACUGCUCUUGGAACUGCGUGGCUGGAGUGCAGGAGGGGCAGGCGGAAUUCCUGGUGUAGCGGUGAAAUGCGUAGAUAUCAGGAGGAACACCGGUGGCGAAGGCGGCCUGCUGGACUGCAACUGACGUUGAGGCCCGAAAGCGUGGGGAGCAAACAGGAUUAGAUACCCGUGUA
rnacentral:rRNA from 1 species